rnacentral:lncRNA from 1 species
CACCGACGCCCGCGCCCCGCCAACCGUCGCCACCUCACCGGACCACUACGUCGCCGGCCGUCGCCGCCUUGUCCUCCAUGACUUCCUCGACCUCUUACCCGCCCCGACCUCGCUGACGGACGUCGCUCGCCGGAGCCGCUCCGCGUCGCCUCGCCUCCUCAUCUCUUCCUCAACCGGCCUCCUCGAGCCUCGCUGGCGUACCCCUGCAUCGGGGGUGAGCGCCUUCCCUCCUCUCCUUUAUGUCCCGUCGUAGGACGCCGUUCACCGCGUUCACCUGCUCUCUGACCGCGCGUGCCCGCACCUGCAACCCCUCCAUGGCCGCGCCCGGGGCCUACGCCCGCGCCCUGGCUACUCCGGCCUCGCUUCCGCAACCCCCGCUGCCCACACCAUUGCGCCCACCCCGCGUCGCUGCUCGCCGCUGUCGCGACGCCUCCCGCUCGUCCGACCGACCGCACGUGGCCUCUGUGCCCGCCGACGCUCGCCGUGCACCUGUGCGCAAGCACAGCCGCGACCACGGCUGGUGCCAAUGACAGUCGGGGCCCGACCCCUGUGAACGAAAGUAAAAAAAAAUCAAUGUAAAAUAAAUUAAAUUGUUAAUAAUCAAUUAAUUAAUUAAAUGGUUAUUUAAACUUAAUUAAAGUUUCCUUAAUUAAUUUAACAGUAGUUAACUUGUUUCUUAGUCUGUUAGUUUAUGACAUGCGGGCCCAGCCUUUUGCUUAAUAAAAUGUGUUAGUUAAAUUAGUUUAACCCUGAGUCACUUACAUGUGGGACCCGCAAAACUGUUCUUUGAGAUUAGGUUGACUAGGUCAGCUGCUGACUCAGCAGUGGGGCCCUCUGUCAGCCCCACUUACACAUCUCUGGGUACACUCUCUGUGUACCCAUAGCAAUUACACUUGUUAUAUUUUCGAAUAAAAUAAAUCCUGUUAUUUUUAGAAAUGGUUUAAUCUUUGAAAAUUAAUAUAAAUUAAUCCGUAACUCGGAUGAAAAUGUUUUAUACAUGAAAGUUGCUCAAAAUGAGGAGACGAAUCCGAAUACGCGGUCCUUUCAUCCGCCACACGUCCCUAGCAUAGCAAACAUUGAACUUUCCCCUUCCGGUUCAUCUGUUUGACAGACGUCCGGAACCGGGAGAACUUUCCCGGAUGUUUCCCCCUUCGCCAGUAUUGCCUAGCGUUGCGUUAGAACACCUCUAGCCUCGCUUAUUGCCGCGUUAUGCUUUGUAAUGCUAUGUUUGCGUGUAUUUACUGUUUCUUCCUCCUCUUCUUCUCCGGUAGACCUCGAGACCGAUGCUGAUGUCCCUGUGAUCGACUACGUCGACGACGACCCUCCUUUUUGUCUGAGCAACCAGGCAAGCCCCCUUUUGAUCAUCCCGAUAUCGCCCAUUCUAUACUCUCAUGCUUGCAUUAGAUUUUGCUACUGUUAUUGAUUGCUCCUAUUCUGAUGCAUAGCCUGCUUUUGUACCUACUGUUGUACCUUACCUGCUUAUCCUAAACUGCUUAGUAUAGGUUGGAUAGUGAUCCAUCAGUGACCUCCACCUUGUCCUUAUUGCCCCUGCUUCAUCAUCGACGACUCGAGCUACAUGAUCGACGACCAGAGCCUGACACCGCACAUCACAUCACGCCCCUUUAGUUGUUCGACUCUGCAGAGCUACUAUCGAGUGCCGAGGGUGAUCCCUCAUAACGCACUCCUGAUGAUAAUUCUGUAGUGUAGCUAUUCAGUCGUGGUCAUCGAGGGUGAUUUCCUCCUUCACCAUUCCCGAUACGGCUCUGUCGUGCAACCCCUCAAGUGUGAACCUCAAGGGUGGUUCCUCUUACGUUCACCUUGAUGAUUACAUCGAUUGGAAUCCUCCGAGGGUGAUUCCUUGGGUUUUCCCCUUGAUGUUUGGAUACGGUUACCUUGACAUUACUUGAGACCUUUGGGAAAGUCGGGCGGGCCCGGAGAGUACCCGCAAGAUGGUUACGAGGCACGGCCGGGAAGUCUGGCAGCCCUCGAGUGGGCUGGGCUUGCCCUUGUCGUAUUUCCUCGAGACGGGGCGACGGGGUCACCUUGUCGUGAGUCUCUGCUCGUCUCCGCGAGCUAAUAAUACACUAUGGUUUGGGUAUUUGUUCUGAAUUGGCCUUUGGCCUUUUUGCACCAACCACCACGCGAGAAUAGUUAUGGGCCUCGGCGUCGUGGUAUCAGCCGAAGCUUUGUCAGACGUCCAGUUCAGCAGUGCGGCACGGUCGGAUCGUGCUGGCCAUCCGAGGCGGUGCUAGUAUUCACCCUGCACGCAACAAUCCGGAGUGCAACGGGCGAUGGGCCCAGACCCCGGAGUGCUUAGGAUGUAGACCGGCGGGGACCUCUCUGCUGAGCCUAGGUCGGGCUGCGACGUGUUGAUCUUCCGAGGGCGGGCAUUGACCCCAGAAAGGUGUGUCCGGCCAGAGUGAUCGAGUUUGUUGGGUAACGUGGUGCACCCCUGCAGGGAAGAUCUUUAGUCGAAUACCGUGUCCACGGUAAUGGACGUUCAGACUUAUAUCUUGAUCUAAUACAACUAGAAAUGGAUACUUAAGAUAUGUGGCUUCGGGAUUGCUUUCUCGCAGGGAAUCGAGGAAGGAUCUCUGGGCAUUAAUGUUACAACAUGUUUGAUAAUUAUAAACUGCUAUUCUUUACCCUUCUACAUGCUGCAAGAUGCUUGGAGCUGCUUGAAGAUGCUAGUCUUCGAUAGGCUAGGCCUUCCCCUCUAUUCUGGCAUUCUGCAGUUCAGUCCACAGAUACAAAUCUUCCAUUUGAUACCAGUGCAUACUUAGUAUAGAUCUGAUGCUUGCAAGCACUUUGGAUGAGUACUCACGGUUGCUUUGCUACCCCUUUUCCCCCUUCUUUCUUCUUUCCGGUUGAUGCAACCAGAUGGUGGAUCCUUGGAGCUAGAUGCCACCGCCGACGGAUACUACUACAUGGAGGCCACCGAAGACCAGGAGUAGUUAGGAGGUCCCAGGCAGGAGGCCUUGCCUCUUCGAUCGUGUUGCUUUUGUGCUGGCCUUCUUAAGGCAGACUUGUUUAACUUAUGUCUGUACUCAGAUAUUGUUGCUUCCGCUGACUCUCUUGUGUAUCGAGCUAUGUAUUCGAGCCCUCGAGGCCCCUGGCUUGUAAUAUAAAGCUUGUAUUAUUUUAUUUGUGUCUAGAGUUGUGUUGUGAUAUCUUCCCGUGAGUCCCUGAUCUUGAUCGUACAUAUUUGCGUGUAUGAUUAGUGUACGGUCGAAUCGAGGGCGUCACAAGUUGGUAUCAGAGCCGACUGCUUG